rnacentral:rRNA from 1 species
UACGUAGGGUGCAAGCGUUGUCCGGAAUUAUUGGGCGUAAAGAGCUCGUAGGCGGUUUGUCGCGUCGAAUGUGAAAGCCCGGGGCUCAACCCCGGGCCUGCAUUCGAUACGGGCAGACUAGAGUUCGGUAGGGGAGUCUGGAAUUCCUGGUGUAGCGGUGAAAUGCGCAGAUAUCAGGAGGAACACCGGUGGCGAAGGCGGGACUCUGGGCCGAUACUGACGCUGAGGAGCGAAAGCGUGGGGAGCAAACAGG